GAUGAAGAACGCAGAGAAAUGCGAUACGUAAUGUGAAUUGCAAAUUCAGUGAAUCAUCGAGUCUUUGAACGCACAUUGCGCCCCCUGGUAUUCCGGGGGGCAUGCCUGUCCGAGCGUCAUUGCUGCCCUCAAGCACGGCUUGUGUGUUGGGCCCCGUCCUCCGAUUCCGGGGGACGGGCCCGAAAGGCAGCGGCGGCACCGCGUCCGGUCCUCGAGCGUAUGGGGCUUUGUCACCCGCUCUGUAGGCCCGGCCGGCGCUUGCCGAUCAACCCAAAUUUUUAUCCAGGUUGACCUCGGAUCAGGUAGGGAUACCCGCUGAACUUAAGCAUAUCAAUAAGCGGAGGA
rnacentral:misc_RNA from 1 species